AGGAUAAACGCUGGCAGCGUGCCUAACACAUGCAAGUCGAACGCGCUUGCUAUCCGCGAGGACGGUGAGCGAGUGGCGGACGGGUGAGGAACACGUGGGUGACCUACCUUUCAGUGAGGGAUACCGGCGAGAAAUUGCCGACAAGACCGCAUACGCUUCUCUUUUCAAGGGGAGAAGGAAAGCUUUUCGCAAGAGAGGCGCUGGGAGAUGGGCCUGCGGCCGAUUAGCUAGCUGGUGGGGUAAUGGCCUACCAGGGCGACGAUCGGUAGCUGGUCUGAGAGGACGAUCAGCCACACUGGGAUUGAGAACGGCCCAGACUCCUACGGGGGGCAGCAGUGAGGAAUUUUCGGCAAUGGGGGCAACCCUGACCGAGCAACGCCGCGUGCAGGACGACGGCCUUCGGGUUGUAAACUGCUUUUCUCUGGGACGAGCAAGGACGGUACCAGAGGAAGAAGCCCCGGCUAACUACGCGCCAGCAGCCGCGGU
rnacentral:rRNA from 1 species